GAUAAGGAGCUUGCUCCUUUGACGUUAGCGGCGGACGGGUGAGUAACACGUGGGUAACCUACCUAUAAGACUGGAAUAACUCCGGGAAACCGGGGCUAAUGCCGGAUAACAUUUAGAACCGCAUGGUUCUAAAGUGAAAGAUGGUUUUGCUAUCACUUAUAGAUGGACCCGCGCCGUAUUAGCUAGUUGGUAAGGUAACGGCUUACCAAGGCAACGAUACGUAGCCGACCUGAGAGGGUGAUCGGCCACACUGGAACUGAGACACGGUCCAGACUCCUACGGGAGGCAGCAGUAGGGAAUCUUCCGCAAUGGGCGAAAGCCUGACGGAGCAACGCCGCGUGAGUGAUGAAGGUCUUCGGAUCGUAAAACUCUGUUAUUAGGGAAGAACAAAUGUGUAAGUAACUGUGCACGUCUUGACGGUACCUAAUCAGAAAGCCACGGCUAACUACGUGCCAGCAGCCGCGGUAAUACGUAGGUGGCAAGCGUUAUCCGGAAUUAUUGGGCGUAAAGCGCGCGUAGGCGGUUUCUUAAGUCUGAUGUGAAAGCCCACGGCUCAACCGUGGAGGGUCAUUGGAAACUGGGAAACUUGAGUGCAGAAGAGGAAAGUGGAAUUCCAUGUGUAGCGGUGAAAUGCGCAGAGAUAUGGAGGAACACCAGUGGCGAAGGCGACUUUCUGGUCUGUAACUGACGCUGAUGUGCGAAAGCGUGGGGAUCAAACAGGAUUAGAUACCCUGGUAGUCCACGCCGUAAACGAUGAG
rnacentral:rRNA from 1 species